rnacentral:rRNA from 1 species
CCUACGGGAGGCAGCAGUGAGGAAUAUUGGUCAAUGGGCGCGAGCCUGAACCAGCCAAGUCGCGUGAGGGAAGACGGUCCUAUGGAUUGUAAACCUCUUUUGUCGGGGAGCAAAAGACGCCACGCGUGGCGUUCCGAGAGUACCCGAAGAAAAAGCAUCGGCUAACUCCGUGCCAGCAGCCGCGGUAAUACGGAGGAUGCGAGCGUUAUCCGGAUUUAUUGGGUUUAAAGGGUGCGCAGGCGGUCUGUUAAGUCCGCGGUAAAAGCCCGGGGCUCAACCCCGGCCCGCCGUUGAAACUGGCAGUCUCGAGUUGGAGAGAAGUAUGCGGAAUGCGCGGUGUAGCGGUGAAAUGCAUAGAUAUCACGCAGAACUCCGAUUGCGAAGGCAGCAUACCGGCGCUCAACUGACGCUGAGGCACGAAAGCGUGGGGAUCGAACAGGAUUAGAUACCCCUGUAGUC